CUCCGGGGCGGGCUUCAAAACCGGUGAUUCCUGCUUCGGCUUCGACUCCUUCUUGC
rnacentral:tRNA from 11 species